UGAGAGAUCCUGUAAUUCAACGUGUUAACCUUUGCGCUCUAACGAUGACUCUCCAUCACUGGGAUUGAUGCGGCAACUUGAACAGCGACAAUAUUUAUUUGUUUGAUUUUU